GUGAAAACCUUUAUUUUCUCCCGAUUGUAUGUAGUUAGCCUCAUCCUAUGCUUGACUGGCGAGUUUAUUAUUUUCACGACUUUUUCUUUUUUAAGCGAGGUAGAGAUAAAUCGAAGAAAUAUUGGAGGAAGGUGAUUAGACAUAUGAAUGAAGCAACUUCAACUUAUCGAGGAUAUGAUCCUAAAUAGGACGUAAUGAAGGAGGAAGAUUAAGGUAGAAGAUUGUUUUAUUUUGAGCCGAGGGUCUAUCAGAAGCAACCUCUCUAUCACACAUCUGAGGCAGUGGUAUGAACUACGUACACUUACCCUCCCCAAAUCCCACUUGGUGAAAAUAUACUGGGUAGGUUGUUGUUGUUGUUGUA